rnacentral:rRNA from 1 species
GACGAACGCUGGCGGCGUGCUUAACACAUGCAAGUCGAGCGGUAAGGCCCUUUCGGGGGUACACGAGCGGCGAACGGGUGAGUAACACGUGGGUGACCUGCCCUCAGCUCUGGGAUAAGCCUGGGAAACCGGGUCUAAUACCGGAUAUGACUCCAUGACGCAUGUUGUGGGGUGGAAAGCCUUGUGCGGCUGAGGAUGGGCCCGCGGCCUAUCAGCUUGUUGGUGGGGUGAUGGCCUACCAAGGCGACGACGGGUAGCCGGCCUGAGAGGGCGACCGGCCACACUGGGACUGAGACACGGCCCAGACUCCGUACGGGAGGCAGCAGUGGGGAAUCUUGCGCAAUGGGCGAAAGCCUGACGCAGCGACGCCGCGUGAGGAUGACGGCCU